UACGUAGGGGGCAAGCGUUGUCCGGAUUUAUUGGGCGUAAAGAGCGUGUAGGCGGCCAGGUAGGUCCGUUGUGAAAACUCGAGGCUCAACCUCGAGACGUCGGCGGAAACCCUCUGGCUAGAGUCCGGAAGAGGAGAGUGGAAUUCCUGGUGUAGCGGUGAAAUGCGCAGAUAUCAGGAGGAACACCGAUGGCGAAGGCAGGUCUCUGGGCCACUACUGACGCUGAGAAGCGAAAGCAUGGGGAGCGAACAGG
rnacentral:rRNA from 1 species